rnacentral:rRNA from 1 species
AGUGAACGCUGGCGGUAGGCCUAACACGUGCAAGUCGAACAGCAGCACAGUAAGAGCUUGCUCUUACGGGUGGCGAGUGGCGGACGGGUGAGGAAUACAUCGGAAUCUACUUUUUCGUGGGGGAUAACGUAGGGAAACUUACGCUAAUACCGCAUACGACCUACGGGUGAAAGCAGGGGAUCUUCGGACCUUGCGCGAUUGAAUGAGCCGAUGUCGGAUUAGCUAGUUGGCGGGGUAAAGGCCCACCAAGGCGACGAUCCGUAGCUGGUCUGAGAGGAUGAUCAGCCACACUGGAACUGAGACACGGUCCAGACUCCUACGGGAGGCAGCAGUGGGGAAUAUUGGACAAUGGGCGCAAGCCUGAUCCAGCCAUACCGCGUGGGUGAAGAAGGCCUUCGGGUUGUAAAGCCCUUUUGUUGGGAAAGAAAAGCAGCAGGUUAAUACCCCGCUGUUCCGACGGUACCCAAAGAAUAAGCACCGGCUAACUUCGUG